GGGUUGUGAGGUUAAGUGACUAAGCGUACACGGUGGAUGCCUAGGCAGUCAGAGGCGAUGAAGGGCGUGCUAAUCUGCGAAAAGCGUCGGUAAGGUUAUAUGAACCGUUACAACCGGCGAUACCCGAAUGGGGAAACCCAGUGUGUUUCGACACACUAUCAUGUCAUGAAUACAUAGUGGCAUGAGGCGAACCGGGGGAACUGAAACAUCUAAGUACCCGAGGAAAAGAAAUCAACCGAGAUUCCCCCAGUAGCGGCGAGCGAACGGGGAGGAGCCCAGAACCUGAAUCGGCUUGUGUGUUAGUGGAAGCGUCUGGAAAGUCGCGCAGCAAAGGGUGAUAGCCCGUACACUAAAAUGCACAGGUCGUGAGUUCGAUGAGUAGGGCGGGACACGUGACAUCCUGUCUGAAUAUGGGGGGGACCAUCCUCCAAGGCUAAAUACUCCUGACUGACCGAUAGUGAACCAGUACCGUGAGGGAAAGGCGAAAAGAACCCCGGCGAGGGGAGUGAAAUAGAACCUGAAACCGUGUACGUACAAGCAGUGGGAGCACCUUCGUGGUGUGACUGCGUACCUUUUGUAUAAUGGGUCAGCGACUUAUAUUUGUAGCAAGGUUAACCGUAUAGGGGAGCCGUAGGGAAACCGAGUCUUAACUGGGCGAAUAGUUGCAAGGUAUAGACCCGAAACCCGGUGAUCUAGCCAUGGGCAGGUUGAAGGUUGGGUAACACUAACUGGAGGACCGAACCGACUAAUGUUGAAAAAUUAGCGGAUGACUUGUGGCUGGGGGUGAAAGGCCAAUCAAACCGGGAGAUAGCUGGUUCUCCCCGAAAGCUAUUUAGGUAGCGCCUCGUGAACUCAUCUUCGGGGGUAGAGCACUGUUUCGGCUAGGGGCCAUCCCGGCUUACCAAACCGAUGCAAACUCCGAAUACCGAAGAAUGUUAUCACGGGAGACACACGGCGGGUGCUAACGUCCGUCGUGAAGAGGGAAACAACCCAGACCGCCAGCUAAGGUCCCAAAGUCAUGGUUAAGUGGGAAACGAUGUGGAAGGCAUAGACAGCCAGGAUGUUGGCUUAGAAGCAGCCAUCAUUUAAAGAAAGCGUAAUAGCUCACUGGUCGAGUCGGCCUGCGCGGAAGAUGUAACGGGGCUAAACCAUGCACCGAAGCUGCGGCAGCGACGCUUAGGCGUUGUUGGGUAGGGGAGCGUUCUGUAAGCCGUUGAAGGUGGCCUGUGAGGGUUGCUGGAGGUAUCAGAAGUGCGAAUGCUGACAUAAGUAACGAUAAAGC
rnacentral:rRNA from 1 species